rnacentral:piRNA from 1 species
CAACCUUGCAGGGAGAGGAAUAAGUUA